AACAAGGAACUGCAGAUGCUGGUUUACACUACUGGAACUGGAGCAGCAGCUGGAUGACCUGCAGUCCAUCAGGGAUGACGAAAGCUUCCUGGACAGGACCUACAGUCAGGUCGGCAUUCCAAGAGUGCAGGAGGUGCGACGGGUAGAGACAGAAAGGAGAUGAAACGAGUGCAGGAGACCUCGGUAGAAGUACCUCUUGCAAACAGAUUCCAUCUACUACACCAAGCAUGAUGCAAAAUAAAAAAAGACAAAGACCUUCCCAAUUUGUCUCGCAACGUAAUCAACUCAUUUGUGAACCUCAUUACAAAUACUCUGUAAUUUUUACUCCAAUCCCCAAGGCUGGUGGAAAGAUAUUCAACAACUUUCAGUUGUAAAUUGAAUAAGUACGUGAAGAUCCACACCACCCCAAUUUCACUUCUAUCAGGAAGAAGCUCCAGGACUCUAAAAACUAUGACUACCAGGUUCAAGAUUCUUCCCGACAACCAUCAGGCUCUUGAACACCACACACUAACUAAACUAUGAACUAUGUUGCUCUACGUACUUCAGGCUUUUUGCAUUGGUAUUGAGGUUUUUAAUUUAUUGACAAUUUUUGUUCAUUAUGUUAUCUCUCACCACUGUGUUUACAAUCCUGUUAUGCUGCUACAAGAGAGAAUCUCGUUGUUCCCUUGUUGGUCCACAUAACAAUUAAACACUCUUGACUCGAAAAAAAAUGCAGGGUUACAGAAAAGAGGAGAAAAAUGAAUGGUAGUUAGAACUUGUUCGAAUGCAGAGAACUCAAAUAAAACCCAA